rnacentral:rRNA from 1 species
CUGCUUCGCUGACGAGUGGCGGACGGGUGAGUAAUGUCUGGGAAACUGCCUGAUGGAGGGGGAUAACUACUGGAAACGGUAGCUAAUACCGCAUAACGUCGCAAGACCAAAGAGGGGGACCUUCGGGCCUCUUGCCAUCGGAUGUGCCCAGAUGGGAUUAGCUAGUAGGUGGGGUAACGGCUCACCUAGGCGACGAUCCCUAGCUGGUCUGAGAGGAUGACCAGCCACACUGGAACUGAGACACGGUCCAGACUCCUACGGGAGGCAGCAGUGGGGAAUAUUGCACAAUGGGCGCAAGCCUGAUGCAGCCAUGCCGCGUGUAUGAAGAAGGCCUUCGGGUUGUAAAGUACUUUCAGCGGGGAGGAAGGCGAUAAGGUUAAUAACCUUGUCGAUUGACGUUACCCGCAGAAGAAGCACCGGCUAACUCCGUGCCAGCAGCCGCGGUAUACGGAGGGUGCAAGCGUUAAUCGGAAUUACUGGGCGUAAAGCGCACGCAGGCGGUCUGUCAAGUCGGAUGUGAAAUCCCCGGGCUCAACCUGGGAACUGCAUUCGAAACCGGCAGGCUAGAGUCUUGUAGAGGGGGGUAGAAUUCCAGGUGUAGCGGUGAAUGCGUAGAGAUCUGGAGGAAUACCGGUGGCGAAGGCGGCCCCCUGGACAAAGACUGACGCUCAGGUGCGAAAGCGUGGGGAGCAAACAGGAUUAGAUACCCUGGUAGUCCACGCCGUAAACGAUGUCGACUUGGAGGUUGUGCCCUUGAGGCGUGGCUUCCGGAGCUAACGCGUUAAGUCGACCGCCUGGGGA